AAGAAAGAGUUUGGCAUGCUGCAACCAUUUGCAAAAACUACCACCCACCUUGCAUAAAGCUGGAUAGAGCAUUAAAAGUGAGGGCAAGGGAAAUGAACAUUUUGCACUGCAACCAGGCUGCUAGGAAAGCAGCUUUAUUUUAAAUUCCCUAUACCAACAGAAAGGUGACUAUACUAUCAAAGACAUUUCCUAAAAUAGCACCAAGGCACAAUUUUGAUAAGAAACACAGAAAAAAAACAGGUAAUUUAAAAUAAAAUUAAAGGUAAAUUUAUUCAUAAAUACACAGACAAAUGUGAUUUUCCUUGUGGAUGUACUUACUGAAUAUGAUCAUCAGUUCUUAAUACUAUUGUUUUGAGAAUUUUUUCAAUGACUGUCAGAAUUAGUACUUCUCAGUCUCUGAAACUGAAAAAAAAUAUAUUAAGCUUUAGCUGUCAAGCUUUGUAACUUAGUGCACAGAAUACAAAUCACUAUCACCAAAGGAGUGGGGAGAAAAAAAAAAAAGAAAAAAAAACAGCCUUAAUUAUUCAGAGAUUUAAUAUACUGAACUAUCAUUAACAUUCAGGACUCCAUCUUAAAGUAAUUAAAAUGCAGGAAGACUUAAGGGAGUGGAGGUCAUUGAGAAAAACACCUACACAGGUGCAUGAAGAAGGAGGCUGGCUGGAAGAGAGAAGCAAGACAUUAUAAAGAGGAAGACUAAUGCUUGUUGACUCACAGAAGGGUUUCUGGGAGCCCAGGCAGUUUCUGAGUUAUCGUGUGCCAGCAGAGCAGACCUAUUCUGUGAUGUUGAAAAGGCCUCCCUUGUACAGUCUCACCACCAAAGAAGAGUGCCAGUUACAAAGGAAAACUGCACCAUCACCCCUGGUCUUUCUCUCUUGGAGCAUCACAAGGACAUAUCAGCUUCCUACUGUUUUGUCAGUAUCUGCAUGUGAACUCACUGCCUCCAGAGGGAUGGAGAAUCAGCUAGAUCACACAAAGGGGCAAAAGAGAAGCAAAGCUGCUUACUCAAGGGCUCACAGCCAUCUGGGCAUGAAAUAUGUUCAGCUUAAUAAAUUCAGAUUGGUACCCCAUGCAGCAACCUGUCUUCGAGUGUAUGUGGGCAAACAAAAGGGUAUGUUUUUCUAUCAGUGCUGGCUUUGUGUACCAUGAAGGCUCAGCCCAUGUGUUGCUGAUACCACACGACAAAUGCUGUGCAGUGACUUCCAACCUCAGCCAAGCCAGGCAUGUCC
rnacentral:lncRNA from 1 species